UGUGUGACCUAGGAUCACCCAGUUUCUUUGAGCCUCUGUAGGCAGGCUGGUAGCACCUGCCAGAAAAGAUUAACGGAGAUGACAGAUGUCAUCCUUUGGCCCAGAGCCUGGCAUCAGGGUCCUGGCAGGGCCACCUGUAGAGGGACGAGACCUGAGCCACCUCUGAAAUGCACAAGAAGAGCCCCGCAGAGGCUGAGACAGGACCGUGUGUAUGGGGGAGGUGUGCGUCACAGACCCUGGCUGUGGGACGAAAAGGUGCGGCUUGGAGCAUAAAUAGACUGAAUCCAUAAAACCUCUUUCUUGAACCUCUUCUCAAUUGCUACCACCUUGAUACGUGCCGUGCUCUCUUCCCUUACUUUUUAUGUAUUUAUUUUCACCAAGGUGUUACUUACAUGCAGUAAAACCAUAAAUCCUGAACGUACAGCACAAUACGUGUUGACAAUUGUGUACUUCUGUGUAACCACCACUCGGAUCAACAUUAAGGCACAAAUCCCUCUGUCCAGGAAGUUCCUUUCCAUUUACCUCCCAAUCUCCCCCUGAAGGUACCUUCCGUUUGGGUGUUGGUCUCCAUAGAUUAGUCUAGCAUCUUCUAGAAGGGCAUGUAAAUGGAAGACUACGUUCUGUACAUUUUUUGUGUCUUCUGUUCAGCAGCAUGUUUUUGAAAUUCAUCCAAGUCGUUGUUUCUAUCAGCAAUUUGCUCGUGUUUCUUGCUGAGUACAAUUCCAUCGUAGGGAUGGACCACAAUCAGUGUAUCUGUUGAGAGGCGUCUGGGUUGUUUCUGAUGUUGCCUGUUAGGAAUCAGGCGCCUGUGUGGAUCCACGUGCACGUCUUUGUGUGAACAUGUUUUCAUUUCUCUUGGGUGGAACGGCUAGUGAUAGGAUCUUCCACGUGGAACUUUAUAGGGAACUGCCCUCUCUCCCCUCCACCUUCCCCUUCCUGAUGUCCAAAAGGCUUCCAGGUUUGGAGCAGAGAAGCAGUUCAAAUCCCAGACUUGCCUUUAGGAGCUGAGAACCUGGAUCCACUUACUGGUUUCAUCUACUCUGUGGAAUGGGGAUGAUUAUUUCCCCACCACGGGGUUCCAGGGAGGAUUGAUUACCUGCGAUACCAAUCAUGAAAAGUCUGGUUCAAUAAAUAUGAUUUCCCUUUUUUUUUUCAUCCUUGGAGCUGUGCUAUGGUGAUUUUAACAGCAGGCAACUAGAAAUGAAAUAAUUCAGUGACAUGACUGGGAACAAAAACACAGUUGCCCCCAGAAUUUAGGCAUAAUCAAUGAUUUCCAUUCUCCUUACACAGGCUUUGGGGCCUCGUAUUCAACCAUCCACCUUACAGAGUGUUGGGCAAGUAAGGUAAACACAGCUAGGUCAACACUGCCUCCUGGGAAGAGGGUCUGCACAGAGCAAACAGUGAGGACGUGUGUUUUCUAGGCCUUCCUCUGCCCUCGUCCUCCACCUCUGGCCUCCAGGGGGUAAAGGGGAAGCAGGUGGGGGAGGCUGUGUAAGUGACUCAGCUUCAGGCGCUGGAAACUGAGGGGAAGGGACUCAGGGCAGCGUGGCCUCCUCCCGUGGGCCGGAGCUUCAGGCCUAUCAGGGAAGCUGGCACCGUUCAAGGGGUCGAAGGCAAACUCUUUGCGCAUGCACGCGUGCACACACGCACGCACACACACACGCGCACACACACGCAGACGUGUUAUCCCCAUCCCCACAUGGGACUUGGGGCUCCCCUUUCUUGUACGCAGAGCUCUGGAAAAAUCGUGGUCCUGACACUGCUUGGGUCAGUGUGGACUUUGGCAAGAAGGUGGGAUUUGGGGACAGUCAGAGUUGGCUUCAGUUCACUGUGGACAAGUUACUUAACCCCUCAUGGCUUCACUGUCCUUAUCCGUAAAUGGGGAUUUUGGUUCCAGGGUCGUAGGGUGACUUUUAGGGUAGAAAUCAGUGAAUAUAUGUAAAGGGCUGGUAUGUCGUGGACACUCAGUAAAUAUCGAUUCCCCUUCUCUUCCCUCUUGGUCUUUCGGUUUGGUUUGAACAUGAGGAAAUAAGAGAAUAAUGCCAUUCGCGAUACACUGUAGAGGGUAAGAACCUACCUAUGUAGCAACUAAAGAAUAUGCAUAGAGGGCUCUGGAAGGAGGCAAACUCCGGAGUAUCACCCUGGAAUGAUGCACACUUACCAGCUGGGGUGAAUUUUACUUCCUCUUUCUGCGUAUUCCUGUGUGUUGCUGUUUUCACAACAAGAAUGGGUGGCUUCUAUGACAAAAAAUACAUCUUCGGUUCUUUAUAACUUAACAACCAAACAGAAGGAUGCUGUAUUCACAUAGGUGACAGUUUCUUGCAGGGUCUUUGAAAAACGAGAUUGCCCCAAGGACAUCUCUUUUACCACUAUGGCUUUCUUCCAAAUGCCCUACCUCUUGGACGUCUGCCUGAUGGAGUGGAAAGGCUUCCAUGUGGAGUCAGAUGGUACAGGGCUCAAUUCUAGUCAACUGUUUACUAACUGCGGGACCUUAUGAAAAUUACUUAAUCUCUGUGAGCCCAGCAAUGAAAUAGCGAUCGUGUCUACUUUGGAUUUUUUGGGGGAGCUCUGAAUGAGAUGCCGGUGUACAGCCCAAGCGUAUAGAAACGCCUUAAUGAAUGCAGUGGCAAUUUUCCUCCCAUACAAUGUUCAGGUCACAGUCUUCGUGGAUAUUGCCUCUGGCAGCCUCACAACAGCCCUGUGGAACAAUCACUGCCUGUUAUCAUCUCGCUCUGCAGAUGAGCAACCGAAACUCAGAUAAUUUAAGCGACUUGCCCAGUUCUGCCCUGGAACACCAGCAGCGUUCCUCCUUCUCUGUUUGUAUGUUACAAGGUAUAUAUUAUGCACACUAUGGCCACGUCAUAUUUUGGCUUUGACCCUGGUGCCUGGAGAAGUUGUAAGGUCUGUGUUUGUCGUUCACUUAUCCUCUUGCAGUUUGCACCACGUAUGUUUCUUCUAAUCACAGAUUGGAGACCGCCUUCGGAUUAUUGUUAUAGCCUCAUUGAUAAGGAAUGACUC